rnacentral:lncRNA from 1 species
ACAAUAGAAGAGUGGAAACUGAAACGCCUGAAGCUAAAAAUGACGAAGCGCAUGAGAUGACCUUAAAAACCUCAGAAAAAUCCAAAGAAAGGAAGUACCGUUUCUUGAGAAGCUCAGAAUCUGAAGUAGAAGACGUGGUAGAAGACGAAGGAGAAGAUGUAGUAGAAGACGAAGAUGAAGACGAUAACAUUUUUCUCAGUCGUCAGAAAGCAACAAGUCCAAAAAUUGCGGUUUCUUCGCCCACUUUUAAAACGCCAGCCACAGUCGCUAACAAAGUUUCAGAAUUGGGUACACCCAAAACUUCGGAAUUCCGUCUCCUACCCGAACCGGUACUAUCGCCCCGGAUUCCCAGGCGAACGCUUACUUUGGUCAAUGAAUCUUCACCGAAUAGAGUUGAGCAGCCUAUUAGCAUUCCAGAAGAUGUUGCAAAUACAGAACUGCACAAGAGAUCGCAAAAGGAAACUCCACUUAUUAGGCCUUCAACAUCUCGUGCAAACGAAAAAACUGUUUUAACGAUCGCGAAAACGACAUCUAUACUUAUGGGGACCGUCACGUCCCAUUAAAUUCCGCCAUUGAUCCAUCUACACUUCCAGUGCCAAACCGCAAACCUCUACGGACUCAAUUCAAUCUUUGUUUGACCUCAGAUGUUUGGUGGAUGUUGAUGCUGGUUCUUCACUUCAGAUAGCUUUCCGUUCCGAAGCAACCAUGGGCCGUUUCGCGGCUAGUUCAGGUGAAUCACUAGUUUCUGUAGAUGGUCUUUCGGCAUUUUUCGUUCUUCUUUUUUUAGCCGAUGGAGGAUUUGUAGUGGUUGCUUUUUCUGUAUUUCUAGCUGAUUGUGGUUUUGUCUUCUUUUCAACUGGUGCUAGUAACAGCAUACAUUUUUCAAUAAAAAAAAAACUUGAAAACUUU